rnacentral:rRNA from 1 species
GUCCUUUAGAAUUUAAUUUAAGGUCUGGCCUGCCCAGUGAUAUAUUUUAACGGCCGCGGUAUACUGACCGUGCAAAGGUAGCAUAAUCAUUAGUCUUUUAAUAGAGGGCUGGAAUGAAGGGUUUAACGAGGGACAAGCUGUCUCAUUUUAUUUGUUUUAGAAUUUAAUUUUUUGGUCAAAAAGCUAAAAUCUUAUUGGAAGACGAGAAGACCCUAUAGAGCUUAAUAAAAUUUUAUAUAAUUGUUGUGAUAUAAUUUUUAUUAUAUAUUAUUUUAUUUUGUUGGGGUGAUAAAAAUAUAUGAAUAACUUUUUUAUUUUUUUUACAUUGAUAAAUGAUUAGGUGAUCCGCUCUUAGUGAUUAUUAGAUUAAGUUACCUUAGGGAUAACAGCGUAAUCCUCCCCCAGAGUUCAUAUUUACGGGAGGGCUUGCGACCUCGAUGUUGGAUUAAGAUAAUAUUUGGGUGUAGUCGCUCAAUUUAUAGGUCUGUUCGACCUUUAAAUUCUU